rnacentral:lncRNA from 1 species
CAAGGGCUUUGACGUUUGCUCCCCUCUUCCCACCUGCGCGCCGCUGGGGCUGGCAGCCUGUUAGCGGGUCAUAAUCCGGCGUUCACACUCACCGUGACCUUUCCUGGAUGGAGGAGAGAGUUCAACUUCUGGGGCACUCCUAAGAGUCUGACCCUCCUGCCGAGGAUUUUGCAUUUCCCUGGCAGGCAGCAGAACCACUGAGCUAAAUCCCCGGCCGGCAGAAGCUUUUUGAUGUGUUCCCGUUUGUUGAUACUGGGAAAUAUUUUCUGUGCAACUGGGGUCCUGUUCAGAAAGUCCUUGCCCUACUAUGCCUGUGACUUCAAGUACAAAGUACACACGUGAUUGUAUAGAAAGGAGUUAAUUUUGGAUCCAUAAGAUGAAGUGACUUGGCCAAGGGAACACAGCUAACAGGAGACGAGUUUAACUUCCAAAGAUAUGUUGGUG